GCGCAACUUUGCAGGUCGGCAGCAAAUUUUGGUAAAUUUUCGUUGGUGUUGGUGGCGGAAGGAUGGACAAAUUUCUCUUGAAAAACUCACAGGAUGGACAAGACAGCAGCAUUGAGGCAAUUGAGGAGGACAACCAGCUAGCAAAAAGGCAGCGAGUCGGAAGAUCAUCGGUGUGGGGCCAUUUCGAAAAAAUAAACAACGGUAU